rnacentral:lncRNA from 1 species
AGCGAGCAGGGAGAUGGCAGGCAGCCGCGGCGUUCCUGCCGAGAUGGGGAGUGCUGUGGAGAAGUGGUGAAGGUCACAGCAGAAGGAGACAGAAAUCUAGCCAAGCGGCCGGGCUGCGGCUCUCCUGAUAGCGAGAAGAGGCUGGCAGGGUGUGCUAGGGCACGAAAUCAGGGCCGCGUCCUUCCUGCAGGUCAAGCGGCGCCCGGCCAGCUGACCCAACCAAUCGCCUCAGCACUCAACUCCUCUCCCCGCACUUUUCCCCGUGCGGAGCCCACCGCACAGCUGCCCACCGCGCCGCGCCGUGCCCCGCCCCGCCCGGGCAGGGCACCCCGGGGGGCACACAGCGACUCCAGCCGCCGUCCCUCCCUCGGCUCAGCGCCCCUCAGCCCGGGCCCUGCCGGGCCGCCCCGCUGCGUGCCUGGCCCGCCUCAGCGGCGGCCGGGGGAGGGCGGGGGCGGCGCCGUGCGGCUGAGCUCAGCGCGUCGGGAAAACCGCCGGGCCCGGGGCCGCCUCCUCCGCCGGCAGCGCCGCCCCUCCCCGCCGCACACACACUCACACUCACACACACGGCCGCUUCCUGCGUGGGGCCGGACCCGGCGGGCGGAGCGGUGCCGCUUCCUCCCUCCCUCUCUCCCGCCCGCCCGCCGCUGCCGCCGCCUCGCAGGUACCGGGGGUGGGGGCGAGGGGAGCGGGGAGCCCUGCGGCGGGAGGCGGCCUCCCCCUCGGGCCUCCUGCUGGGGCCGGCAGCCGCCGCCCCGAGCGCGGCGGAGGGGAAGGUGGAGCGGAGCUUCCGAGCCGGGGCCGCCCGUGGGCGGGGGCCCGAGCUCGGCGGGGCGAGUGCCGGGCGGGGAGCGGCCGGGGAGCGGCGGUCGAGGGGCGUCUCGGGGCGGUGGGCGGCGGCGGCUCCUCGCAUUGCUGCCGGGUGAAGUCAUCGCGCCCAUUGUCUCCCCUCGGCUCCCCCCGGGCGGGGCGAGGGGCCCGGCCCGCCCCGAGGAGGAGGAAGGAGAAGAGGAGGGGGUCCGGCCCGCGCUCCCCGUCGUUGGGUUGAGGCGUGCGGCCGCCCGGGACGCCGCGCCUCCGCUCGCGGGGUACGGGGGAGGCCCCGCCCGGCGCUGCCUCGGCUGCGCGUCCCGGGCCGGCGCGGCGGCUCCGGGUGCCCGGGGCUUCCCUCCGCGGAGGCGGAGUGGUGUCGGUGGGCGGUGUCGGGCCGGGUGUUCCCGUGCGCUUGUCCCCCAGCGGGGCCGGCGCGGGGAAAGGAAGAGCUGCGGCUGGGCGGGGGGCAGCCCUCGCAGCCUUCGUGCCCUCGUGGUCGCUCGCUGGGAGCGUGCCCGCGAGCAGCGCUACCAACGCCGUUGCUGUUCGCGCUGGGAGCGAUGGUCGGAUGCCUUAUCGCCGCUGUCAUCGAGGACGGCGUUAUUUGUGCAAGGCAAAGGGCAGGUUGGGAAAUGGGUCUCGCGGGGUGGAAAAGCCCCCUCGCAAACUCGUUGUGCAAAGUAUCUGUUAAUUUUUCCUUAA